rnacentral:lncRNA from 1 species
UAUGGUCAUGGCGGAGGGGACGGCAGUGCUGAGGCGGAACAGGCCAGGCACCAAGGCGCAGGAUUUCUAUAAUUGGCCUGAUGAAUCAUUUGAUGAAAUGGACAGUACACUUGCUGUUCAGCAGUAUAUUCAACAGAACAUAAGGGCAGACUGCUCCAAUAUUGACAAAAUUCUUGAACCACCUGAAGGUCAAGAUGAAGGUGUAUGGAAGUAUGAACAUUUAAGAGUGAGUGCCAUCCUGAUACUUGUACUCAGAUGACAGCAACUGAACAAUGGAUUUUUCUUUGUGCAGCUCAUAAAACUCCAAAAGAGUGUCCUGCCAUAGAUUAUACAAGACACACACUGGAUGGUGCUGCAUGUCUUCUGAAUAGCAAUAAAUAUUUUCCCAGCAGGGUUAGCAUAAAAGAAUCAUCUGUAGCAAAACUAGGAUCAGUGUGCCGUAGGAUUUACAGAAUAUUCUCACAUGCCUAUUUUCAUCACCGGCAGAUAUUUGAUGAAUAUGAAAAUGAAACAUUUUUAUGUCACCGGUUUACCAAAUUUGUGAUGAAAUAUAAUUUGAUGUCGAAGGAUAACCUGAUUGUACCAAUUUUAGAAGAGGAAGUUCAGAAUUCAGUUUCUGGGGAAAGUGAAGCAUGAAGGAAUCAUGUAGAACAAUGUACUGAUCACAUAAUUAACAAUUAUGUACUGUAUAUAUAUCAUUUUAGACACAUCAAUCAUGUAUCCAUAUUAUAGCUUAUUUGUUUAGUAUAGGUUUUUGUAUGCUAUGUGUUGCCUUUUUAAAUGGGAAAUACAUUUUAAGUUAUUCAUGAGCUGUAUAUUCACUGGUGUGGCACUCAUGGUUUUUAAAUAAGUUUAGUAUUAUCUGUUUAUAAUGCCUGUUAAUAAAAGAAUUUACAGUUUGGUAU